rnacentral:rRNA from 1 species
UACGGAGGGGGCUAGCGUUGCUCGGAAUCACUGGGCGUAAAGGGUGCGUAGGCGGGUUUUUAAGUCAGGGGUGAAAUCCUGGAGCUCAACUCCAGAACUGCCUUUGAUACUGAAGAUCUUGAGUCCGGGAGAGGUGAGUGGAACUGCGAGUGUAGAGGUGAAAUUCGUAGAUAUUCGCAAGAACACCAGUGGCGAAGGCGGCUCACUGGCCCGGUACUGACGCUGAGGCACGAAA